rnacentral:misc_RNA from 1 species
GAAUACUCGAAUCACAAGCCAGAAAAUGAAGAAUACAAUCACUUGUACUCAGGAACAGAAUAUCUAGAAGGUGAAGAUGGGGAACUCUCGUGGUUCAAUGCUGGUGUUCGAGUAGGUGUUGGCAUUGGCCUAAGCAUUUGUCUAGGAAUUGGGAUAGGCGUGGGGUUGCUGGUUCAAACCUAUCAAGGCACCAAACGCAACUUUAGAAGGCGGCUACUAUAAUUAAAGAUUUUCUUGACGCCAGUAUGGCAUUACACUUUAUAUUCUCC